UUCAAGCAGAGACAUAGUAUUGCGUGAUAAUAUAAAGUGGGAACAAAAGCUAAAAAAUGGCUUAUAUAUAGUGUUAUUCCUCCUUAAACGCUCAUCAUCAAUGGCCGAAAUUAUGUUAUACAAACAUUCAGACAAGAAAAGUAGCUUAAUAUUUUCGAGAGAAAUGGACGUAUAGUAGUAUUACGUGAAUUUUUCCAUAUAUAUAAAUAUAUAUAUAUGCCUACAUAGAUAAUAUUAAUUAAUAAUAUAAUUAUUUUUUAUUUAUUUUUAAAAAUGUACACUUUUUCGGAGUCUUGUUGAUGAAUGCUUUUCUUAUCCAUAUAUGUUUAAGUCGGAUCCAGAGAGACAGAGAUUAAUUAUUGCUCUAAUUUGCAGGUAUGAGAAAGAGAUAGAUGAAGUGAAAAACUUGAUGGUUGUUAACAUGUGCAGUGUAGUGUCGUCAUAAGACACAGAAUAUGUAAAGCGUAACUGGAAAACAAGCAGUGGCGUGGCGGGCAUCUCAAGAGCCAAAGGGAGAGAUAUUUUAUAUGAGGAAUUGGAAGGAAGAGUGGAGCCGGAGAGGGACCUCAGAAUCAAUUUUUUGUAUACAUAUAUAUAUAUACACACACACAUACAUGCAUAUACCUAAUAGAUUUAUGAAAAGGCAACUGCAUGCGCAGAGAUCAAAUGUUCCCUCAUUUUUCUGAAAGAUCGAUCGAGGAAGCUUUAGGUCCAAAAGUAGGAGAGAAAGAAAAAGACAAAUAAAGAAAAGCUUCUCAAGCAACUUGUGGUUAAAAUGGAAUAUUAGUAUGAGGUGAAGUAAGGUGCUAAUCCAUAGGCAUACAAUUCAGAACCUUCAUAGAAGCAACAUCGAUUAAUGAUCAUCAUCAUCUUCUUCUACAGUUAUAUAUUGUUUAAAAAAUUAACUACUUGUACUUCUUCAAUUAGGUCAUUCACAUGCAUCUUCAGUCUUGUAUGUUGACUAUUACAGAUACUUUCUUACCUUUUUUUUAUUUUUUUUAAAUGGAACUUUGAAUAUCAAUUUCGUUUUUUUUAUUUUUAUUUUAUCGUUAUCUUUUUGAGAGAGAAGUAGUUAGGGUAAUUAGUUAUUUUACACUCGCUCGUAACUUCAAAAAUCACUGUGUCUUAAUUACGUAUUAAAUUCAAGCCGAAAACCUACCCAUAUUUAAAAUGUGGUAAAGGUUACCCUAUGGAGAGUGAUCAUGGAUCUAGAACGGCUGUGAUUUAUGCAUGUAUAUUGGAGAAAUUUUUAUAAAUUAUUAUUUUGUUUUGUUGAA